rnacentral:rRNA from 1 species
UACGAAGGGGGCUAGCGUUGUUCGGAAUUACUGGGCGUAAAGGCGCGCGCAGGCGGUUCUUCAAGUCAGUGGUGAAAUCCCAGGGCUUAACCCUGGAACUGCCUGCGAGACCUCAGUACUAGAGUGUGAGAGGGGAUAGUGGAAUACCAAGUGUAGCGGUGAAAUGCGUAGAGAUUUGGUGGAACACCGGUGGCGAAGGCGGCUAUCUGGCUCACAACUGACGAUCAGGCACGGAAAGCGAUGGGGAGCAAACAGG